GACAGAGGUCCCGAGCGUUAGGCGGAAUCACUGGGCUUAAAGCGUGUGUAGGCGGAGUUCUAAGUACCUUGUGAAAUCCCACGGCUCAACCGUGGAACUGCUUGGUAUACUGGUUCUCUUGAGCCACCUAGGGGCAACCGGAACAAACGGUGGAGCGGUGAAAUGCGUAGAUAUCGUUUGGAACGCCAAUGGUGAAAACAGGUAGCUGGGAGUGUGCUGACGCUGAGACACGAAAGCCAGGGGAGCAAACGGG
rnacentral:rRNA from 1 species